ensembl:lncRNA
UUUUUUUUUUCCUAAAACAAUGAUAACAUUAAAUUUAUUUUAUAACUGAGGUAUAGUAUGUUAGACUGGGAUCUAACUGCUUUGAUGUCAUCAGAAUCUUUACACUGAAGAUUGCCUGGUUCCUUCUGCUGGUGUUGAAAAAUGCAUCCCCCUGGAUGAGCACGGCUUGUAUUUUCUGGGAUGUGGUAAGAUUCAGAAAGUGUAUUUUGUCCGGACUGAGUGUGGUGAUACAAACACAGUAAAUUCCAAUAUCUUUACAAAUUCUUGUCUCAUUUGGGAGAUGCAAGGGCAAUUUAUUUGACCACCCACCCAUCUUAUUUGCCUUCCUCAGGGAAAGAAACAUCAAGUCAUUUCUGCUCUAGGAAAGCUCUGAUGUAUUUUAAUCUGUUAUCUCCAUUACCGACUCCUGCUCAGUGCAGUAUCUGCUCCUAAAAAUGUAGGAGGACCUUGAAACUUCACUCCCCAGGCAUCAAGAAAAUGCUGAAGCAUACAAGAAGGAAGAGAUUGGGAAGAAAGGAUAUGAUAAGAAAAGAGAAAUGCAGUAACACAUAGAUCUGAAGAAAUUACAAGUUGGUGCAAUGUCUUUUGGGACUGUGAUAAUUGCAAUGAUUCCUUACCACAAAACCAAAGUUGCAUAUGAGAUUACUGAAGAAGAAAGGGCACAAUAGCAGAAGGAGGAGAAAACAAUGCUGGUAGAGGAAAAUAUGAUUUCCCUCAGAGACAAAACGAAUGCAAGAAGAAGUACACGAGCAAAUUCAGAAAGCAACAAGUUCACUCAAUUCCAGAGAUUCUCUUCAGAGCAUACUUGAAGACAUCAGUGGGACUACAACAUUGUCAAAGAAUAUAAAAUUAUCUGUCAUGCCAGGCAUCUACAGAAAUGGUCUGCACAAAAUUUGGAGGCACGGUCAUCAUCUUCACUAUGGCUAUUCCUGUGAAAACAGAAACAUGAAUGUCAUCUUACUGAUUUACAGAGUAAUGAUGAAAGGUUUUUCUAUCACUGUAGUAGCAAUUUUUGCUGUUUGGAUUUUUGACCUAUGUUAGUUUACACAACCCUUCCUAUCAUUCAUAUAAGCUCAUUUAGUAUAGAUAUCUAUAGCUAUAGAUAGUAUAGAAUCAUAGAAUCAUUAAGGUUGGAAAAGACUUCUAAGUUCAUCUAGUCAAACCAUAAGCCCAUCACCACCAAGCCUACUAAAUCAUGUCCCUCAGUGACACAUCUACCCUUUCCUUGAAAACCUGCAUGGACGUUGAUCCCAUCACCUUCCUGGGUAGCCUGUUCCAAUGCCUUACCGUCCUUUCUGAGAAUAAAUUUUUCCUAAUUUCCAACCUUAAACUCUGCUAGUGCAACUCAUGGCCUUAACCUUUUAUACACUGAAGAAUUUUUUUAUUCAGAUGAAACGAUUCAUUCCAUGCUACCUUUCUAAAAAGCUUUGCAUUGUCCUGAUUCUUGACUUGUAAGAGAAUCUUCACUAUAUAUAAGACGGUCAGAUCUUCAAGCCUUGCUUUGUGUAGCUUAUUCCAGUUUUUCUGCAGAUAUCUGAACUGUUUUGAUUCUGAUUCUGUCCUUAGUUAACUCAUCUUUCUCCAAGCGUGCUUCUAAUUUUGUCCACACUUUUGUGUCUGAGAACACUCUCAGUGAACUCUGUGCUAGUCCAGUCUUUUAAGUUUCAUAGUGCUUUUAUGAAAGGCUUAUGAGUAAGCAAAUUUUAUAGAUUUUCCUGCAAAAUCAGUGUGAGGUUACUCUGUGAAGCUGCGUGUAGGAACUUCAUGAAUCUCUCAAAUAAAAUGUUUUUGCGAAUUCUUUGCCACAUAUUUUCCUGGGGACUGGCUUUGUUUUGUUAAUAAUUAAUCACCUCUAUUUUAUACAUGUAUAGCUUUUCUGCAGUUCUUUUCAAAGUUUCAAAAGCUUAAUCAGUUAUUUGUACUAGUAAAACUUUUUUCUGGUUCUCAUAUGCUGUAUUAUUUACUCUAAGCAGACCAAAAGGAGGAUACAGAUCAGUAUCCUGUUUACCUGUUUGAUCUUAUUUUCUUCGUUGUUUUUUUUUUAAAUUCUAACUUACUAAAGAUUUACCUAUUUAACAAUGUUAAUAAAAUAUUAAAGUUUUUAAA